GACAAAACCUACUGAUGUGGGUACCCAAGCAGGAACCCCCCUCUUGCACCGGCGACUCACGUGGGAAGAAGAAUUCACUGAGCUGAAAUGGAGUGAGAGCUAAGAUGCUCUCAGAAUAUUCUUAAAAUGACUGUGCUGCAAAGAAGCCUGGGUGAAUAGAAGAAAAUAAAAGGAAUGGUGGAUACAAGUGAAGGUUAAAAUGAGACCCCAUUUAUCGCACCAGCUGUUGGUGAUUUCAGCGCUCCUUUCCAAGCCUCUUGAGAGUUCUGCUCUAACCACACUGCCCCCUAGUGUUCUCUCGCUUUGGUGCAACGUUUCUCAUACUUCUGGAGAAAUAGAAAGCACCAGAUGACAGCCACCACACACUUUUGUCCCCAUUGCAAUAGGAUGCUUCUAACAAUCGUAAAAUUAUGAAACACUGAAUUCCUUAAAAGUUGUCCAUUUGUGGAUUUAUCUGAUGGUAACUAUUAAAUAUU
rnacentral:lncRNA from 1 species